rnacentral:sRNA from 1 species
AUAUGUAAGAAACUUCAAUGAAAAAUAAUUCUAAUAUUUUUUUCUUCUUCUU